AUUGAACGCUGGCGUCAGGCUUAACACAUGCAAGUCGAGCGGGGUGAUGGUGCUUGCACUAUCACUUAGCGGCGGACGGGUGAGUAAUGCUUAGGAAUCUGCCUAUUAGUGGGGGACAACAUCUCGAAAGGGAUGCUAAUACCGCAUACGCCCUACGGGAGAAAGCAGGGGAUCACUUGUGACCUUGCGCUAAUAGAUGAGCCUAAGUCGGAUUAGCUAGUUGGUGGGGUAAAGGCCUACCAAGGCGACGAUCUGUAGCGGGUCUGAGAGGAUGAUCCGCCACACUGGGACUGAGACACGGCCCAGACUCCUACGGGAGGCAGCAGUGGGGAAUAUUGGACAAUGGGGGGAGCCCUGAUCCUGCCAUGCCGCGUGUGUGAAGAAGGCCUUAUGGUUGUAAAGCACUUUAAGCGAGGAGGAGGCUCUUUUGGUUAAUACCCAAGAUGAGUGGACGUUACUCGCAGAAUAAGCACCGGCUAACUCUGUGCCAGCCGCCGCUGUAA
rnacentral:rRNA from 1 species